rnacentral:rRNA from 1 species
CUACGGGGUGCUGCAGUGGGGAAUUUUGCGCAAUGGGGGAAACCCUGACGCAGCAAUACCGCGUGAGUGAAGAAGGCCUUUGGGUCGUAAAGCUCUUUUCUUGGGGAAGAUAGUGACAGUACCCAAGGAAUAAGCACCGGCUAACUCCGUGCCAGCAGCCGCGGUAAUACGGAGGGUGCAAGCGUUGUUCGGAUUUACUGGGCGUAAAGGGCACGUAGGCGGCACAGCAAGUUAAGGGUGAAAUCCCGGGGCUCAACUCCGGAACUGCUCUUAAAACUGCUGAGCUAGAGAUAGUCAGAGGCGGGUGGAAUUCCAGGUGUAGAGGUGAAAUUCGUAGAUAUCUGGAGGAACACCGGUGGCGAAGGCGGCCCGCUGGGGCUAUUCUGACGCUAAGGUGCGAAAGCGUGGGGAGCAAACGGGAUUAGAUACCCUCGUAGUC